GAUGGAUAGCUUGGUUUGAGUUGUGAUGAAGGACGUGGCAAGCUGCGAAAAGUUUAGGCUAGGUGCAUGCAACCUUUGAACCUAAAAUCUCCGAAUUUGACAACAAGUUUUACAUCCUGAGAAGGAAAUGUACGCUGGGAAUUGAAACAUCUUAGUACCAGCAGGAAAAGAAAAUAAAAAUGAUAUCCUUAGUAGCAGCGAGCGAAAAGGAAAUAGGGCAAACUGAAUCUAUUCUUGAAAAAGAAAUAGAGAUGUGGUAAGCAUAAAUUCCUAAGUUGAUGAGUUGAAUUUCUCUGGAAAGAGAAGCCUUAGAAGGUGAUAGCCCUGUAAAUUAAAUUAAUAUGGAAUUGCUUGUAGAGUAAUAUCUCCUGGAUUGGAGGUAUGAAUAUGGCAGAAUUAACUGCUAACCCUAAAUAUGAACUCAAGUCCGAUAGUGCACUAGUACCGCGAGGGAAAGCUGAAAAGUACUCUUAAUAGAGGAUGAAAAGAUUUGAAAUCUAACAGUUACAGAUAGUUACUGCCCCUAGGGGUUGUAACGUACGUUCUGAAGAACGGGCCAGGGAGUUUAUUUAUAUGGCGAGAUUAAAAAGGUAGUCGAAGCGAAAGCGAGUCUGAAAGGGCGUUAGUCAUAUGGAUAAGACCCGAAGCCAGGUGAUCUAAUCCUGAGCAAGGCGAAGUUCUCCGAAGGGAGAAUGGAGGCCUGAACUGGUGCUACGUGCAUGUGCUCAGAUGACUUGGGAUUAGGGGUGAAAAGCCUUUCUAACUUGGCGAUGGCUGGUUCCUGUCGAAAUAUGCCUCAGUAUAGUCUUAUUUUAUUUGCGAGCGGGGUAAAGUACGGAUUAGGUUUGCAGAGUCUAAUGACUACGGAACUUUUUCCAACUCAGAACUUGCUUGUUGUUUUAAAUAGGAAUCAGGGAUGGUGCGUAAGGUACUAUUCCUAGACCGGAACAACGGAGACUAUGGUUAAGGUCCCAAAAUAUAUACUAAGUGUAACAAAUCUUGUAAAGAACCUGAGACACUAGGGAGGUAGGCUUAGAAGCAGCCACCUUUUAAAGAAAGCGUAACAGCUCACCUAUUGAGGUUCUUUGCGGAGAAAAUUGACGGGGCUAAGUAUAUUACCGAUACCAUAGGCAUACUCAGUAGAGUAUUGCGGUAGGCAGGCGUCUUUUUUGCAUAGAAGUGUUCUCGAGAGAGAGCUUGGAGCAAAAAGGAAUGCAGAUCCUGGUGAGAGUAAGAUCAAAUUUUCCUGAGAAUUGGAAAACGUCGAAAGGGCGCGGUUUCCUCGGCAAUAUCAAUUAGCCGAGGGUUAGUCAGCUCCUAAGCUGUUCCUUAACUGGAAACAGCGAAUGGAUAACAGGUUAAUAUUCCUGUACUGAUUAUUCUUGUUAUUUAUAUAAACCACUUUCAGAUAAUCAGAUAUCUGAAAGGAUACUAAAUAGAGAAGCUUAAGAAGUGUAAUGCAAAGAUUUAGGUGAAUCUAUUUGGAGAAAUUCUGAUGAAUCUAAGAGUCAAUGAAAAAUUUAUGUAUAGAGAAUAAUCAGCUGUACCUAGAUCCAGCACAGGUGCCCUAGCUUAGAAGGCUAAGACGUGUAAGGACAAACUAGUUAAGGGAAUUCGGCAAUUUGGCCCUGUGGCUUAGGUAUAAGGGGUGUCUAUGCUUGUUUUUUGAAAUAAAAAUGCAUGUGUAGAUCUCAGUAACAAAGACUGCCCGACUGUUUACCAAAAACGUAGCCGAGUGCUAAGGUGAAAAGCUUUGUAUACUCGGUGAGACCUGCCCAGUGGUGGUGUCUAAAACUCUUUUUCAAGGGAGCUAAGGUCCAUCAAACGGCGGGCCUAACUAUGAGGCUCUUAAGGUAGCGUAAUGCCUUGUCGUCUGAAUGGCGACGUGCAUGAACGGUUUAACGAGGUGGUCAGUGUCCCUAACUAGAACCUUCUGAACACACUGUUCGGUGAACAUGCCGGAGACAUCUAGUGGGAAGCGAAGACCUUGUAAACCUUUACUGCAACUUGUUGUUGUAGCUUUAUGAAAAAUACACAGAAUAAGUAGGAGCGUCGAUGUUAGAUUUCGGUCGAAACUGAGCAAAAGUGUAAUACUACUUAUUUUUUAUGGAGUUGCUAACUUGGAAAAGGACAGCAACUGGCGGGCAGUUUGGCUGGGGCGGCACCCUGCAGAAAAAAUAUCUGCAGGACCCAAAGACAAACUCAUCUAGCUUGGAAACCUGGAGAAGAGUGCAGAGGCAAAAGUUUGUCUAACUGUUUUCUCAAAAGUAAGGAAAGCAGAAUUGAAAGAUUGGCUCAGCGAACCCAUGUGGUUUUUUAAUGGAACCCAUGUCUGAUAGAAAAGGUACUUCAAGGACAACGGGCUUGUCGCGCCCGAUAGUUCACAUUGACGGCGCGGUUUGGUACACAGCUGUCGGCUCUUCCUAUCCUGGUGGUGCACAAGCUGCCAAGGGUGCUGGAGUUCACAUAUUAAAAGGAAUCGUUAGCUGGGUUAAGAACGUCGUGAGACAGUUUGUAUGAUAUCUACUAGAUGUGUUGUUGUCUGAGUGGAACGACUUUAUAGUACGAGAGGAACUAAAGUCGGAAGCCUCUGGUCUACCAGUUAUUAUGAGUAAGCUGGGCAGCUACGCUUUGAAUGGAUAAGAGCUGAACGCAUCUAAGCUCGAAGCCAUCCGCAAAACGAGACAACUAAGGCCCACAAAGAAGAUGUGGUUGAUAGAGUUGGGGUGUAAGUAU
rnacentral:rRNA from 1 species